rnacentral:rRNA from 1 species
AUUGAACGCUGGCGGCAGGCCUAACACAUGCAAGUCGAACGGUAACAGGAGGAAGCUUGCUUCUUUGCUGACGAGUGGCGGACGGGUGAGUAAUGUCUGGGAAACUGCCUGAUGGAGGGGGAUAACUACUGGAAACGGUAGCUAAUACCGCAUAACGUCGCAAGACCAAAGAGGGGGACCUUCGGGCCUCUUGCCAUCGGAUGUGCCCAGAUGGGAUUAGCUAGUAGGUGGGGUAACGGCUCACCUAGGCGACGAUCCCUAGCUGGUCUGAGAGGAUGACCAGCCACACUGGAACUGAGACACGGUCCAGACUCCUACGGGAGGCAGCAGUGGGGAAUAUUGCACAAUGGGCGCAAGCCUGAUGCAGCCAUGCCGCGUGUAUGAAUAAGGCCUUCGGGUUGUAAAGUACUUUCAGCGGGGAGGAAGGGAGUAAAGUUAAUACCUUUGCUCAUUGACGUUACCCGCAGAAGAAGCACCGGCUAACUCCGUG